AUUGUAACUAUGAUAACAGUGGCAUCAUUUUUUGCCAUACCAGUUCCAGCCUGAGUCUGAUCAUGAAAGUUUGGAAGAACAAGUUGAUCGACCUGAACCACCUUCGCAAGCAUGACUUGAGCAUGAUGUUUCACAGUGGAUGUCUCAACUUUCAGGAACCUUGACAUGGAACCAUAGACUUCCUGUUUCAGAACAAGGUGGUCUGAUAAUACAUGAAUGGAGUGCUUUGUGCAGGAGAAGUUAAUUGAAUGGCAGCUUCCUGAACUUGUAAAUAGUUUUUCAACUGUAUACACUUAAACCAUAAUAAUAAAAUUGUGUUUGUUUUGAAUGCUUUAGCACUGUUUAUAAAUGAAAUUUGUGAUUUAGUUUUAUUCUAAGCUCUUGAAUCUUUGUGGUAAAAUGUAAUUAUUAUUGCACAUGUACUGAACAUUUUUAUUAAUAAAAGAAUAAAGGAGAUACCAUGUUGACAUAUUUGUUUAUAAUGUGGUAUAUUU